UUAGGAUCUAUAAUAUGUCAUAUUAUAUUUAUAAAUUAGAAAAUAAAAGAUUUGGUAUUGAUCAAAUCAAUACCCUAGAUCUAAAAUAUUUUUAGAUCUAAAACCAAGAUCACAUCUAGAUAAAAGAAGAGAUCAGAUCUCUUACCUUCAUGGGGGUCGAGAACUCUAUGAUUAAUUUUUUUUGUUGCUUUUGGAGCUGCACACACGUCUAACCUCUACAG
rnacentral:lncRNA from 1 species